AAUAAAAUAAAGUCUGAUGUGAUUUUCCAUAAGGAUCAAUGGUAAAGGCAAAAAUAUGUAAAUAUUAAUAUCUUUUUUUCAAUUCUCGGGUGUGAGGAUUUUUUU